AGACUGUUGAUGACUCUGAAAGGUUUCCCAAGGCUUUGUGAGGGAAGCAAGAGGAAGCACAGGAGGAACUGGUGACUCAGAGGCACAGUGGCAGCACAAAGGCUCCUCUACACCUCAGCUGAGCCUCAACUCUCCCCUCCCAGCGUUACAGCUCAAAGCUCAGGACAGAGUCAAACUGCUGCCAACACCUGAGGAAGCCCAGCUGAGGCUCAAGGCACGGCCACGGCCACGCCGCUCGGCUCAGGAGGAGAGAACACAGCCACUCACCCAGACAGGGUGCAAACAAAAACCAGGGGAAAACAAAGUCUGGAGGUCUGCCAGGAGUCUCCACGGGCAGCAGAGCUCACAGAAGUUUACUUUCCACCACAUUUUUCUCUAAGGAUGCUUUGAAAUCUCCUUGUACAGGGCAGUUUAAGGCUCCUUCUGUGCCUCAGAAGAAGAUCAGCCACUGUUCUGUACAGUCACUGAGGGGUUUGCCACAACUGAUACCACUUUGUGUCUCCAGAGUUUUACUGAUUCCAUCACACCAGGGUUUUUUUCCACUUCUCUCUGCCCAGAAAUGAGAAGAUUAAAACACAGUUUGUGACUGGCUGGAAGGGACCCUCCAAGGGCAUCUUGCC